AAUUUGAUUUGAAUUGAUGAUGAGGAUAAACCAUCAUCUGAACUUGAACCAAACCACCUCAACUUAUCUUUCAUGGGAUGCCACCUUAAGAAGGGAUAACUUUUUGUGCGACAAAGAAGUUUUAGUUUGUCCAUGAGAAACCUUUGAGUUGGGGCAUGAAAAAAAAAAUCUGAGAGGGGGUGGGCUUCUAUGCGUGAGA
rnacentral:lncRNA from 1 species